GAUGAACGCUGGCGGCGUGCCUAAUACAUGCAAGUCGAGCGAACGGACGAGAAGCUUGCUUCUCUGAUGUUAGCGGCGGACGGGUGAGUAACACGUGGAUAACCUACCUAUAAGACUGGGAUAACUUCGGGAAACCGGAGCUAAUACCGGAUGAUAUUUUGAACCGCAUGGUUCAAAAGUGAAAGACGGUCUUGCUGUCACUUAUAGAUGGAUCCGCGCUGCAUUAGCUAGUUGGUAAGGUAAUGGCUUACCAAGGCAACGAUGCAUAGCCGACCUGAGAGGGUGAUCGGCCACACUGGAACUGAGACACGGUCCAGACUCCUACGGGAGGCAGCAGUAGGGAAUCUUCCGCAAUGGGCGAAAGCCUGACGGAGCAACGCCGCGUGAGUGAUGAAGGUCUUCGGAUCGUAAAACUCUGUUAUUAGGGAAGAACAUAUGUGUAAGUAACUGUGCACAUCUUGACGGUACCUAAUCAGAAAGCCACGGCUAACUACG
rnacentral:rRNA from 1 species